rnacentral:snRNA from 2 species
AUACCUUUCUCGGCCUUUUGGCUAAGAUCAAGUUAGUAUAUGUUCUUAUCAAUUUAAUAUCUGAUAGGUGGACCAAUGGUCCACACAAUAUUAAAUUAAUUUCUUUAGGGGGAGGGUCCACAACAGUAGCUUGCUAUUGGGGCUCUCGUGCGUCGCCCAAGCGUUGCACUACUGCAUGGGCCUGGCGCGCCCCAC